rnacentral:rRNA from 1 species
GACGAACGCUGGCGGCGUGCUUAACACAUGCAAGUCGAACGGAAAGGCCCUGCUUUUGUGGGGUGCUCGAGUGGCGAACGGGUGAGUAACACGUGUGUAACCUGCCCUUGACUUUGGGAUAACUUCAGGAAACUGGGGCUAAUACCGGAUAGGAGCUCCUGCUGCAUGGUGGGGGUUGGAUAGUUUCGGCGGUUGGGGAUGGACUCGCGGCUUAUCAGCUUGUUGGUGGGGUAGUGGCUUACCAAGGCUUUGACGGGUAGCCGGCCUGAGAGGGUGACCGGCCACAUUGGGACUGAGAUAGGGCCCAGACUCCUACGGGAGGCAGCAGUGGGGAAUAUUGCACAAUGGGCGGAAGCCUGAGGCAGCAACGCCGCGUGCGGGAUGACGUCCUUCGGGUUGUAAACCGCUUUCGCCUGUGACGAAGCGUGAGUGACGGUAAUGGGUAAAGAAGCACCGGCUAACUACGUG